UAAGGCGUCAUUUAUGACUAGCCUGUCAGCCAGAAUGUCUAUUCUACGGGAGAAGAACUUGAAGUGCGACUGGAUGGAAAACAUACGAGCCUUUCAGCUGACACAAUGCUUUUCCUGAAGAGGGACUCCGGUUUCAGAUCUUAUUUUGCAGCGGCAGUGCGGAGUUCCUCCCAUCCGCAGGUCCUCUCUGUCUCCUCCUUCAACACUGUCAUACUGAGGUCUUUGCUGAAUGAGCAAAUGAGGGGCAGGAUCAUAACAGGAUCAUAAAAGAGAUAGAAAUGGUGUAGGUGCUUGACAGCUCCACCAUGGCCCAAGACAACUACAUGUACAUGAAUCGAGCAGCAGCAGACUCCAGAUGCAACCAGAAAUACAUCUACAAUCAACUCCAGAACUUUCAUUUGAUCUCUUGUGCAAGAACAAAGGAUGCAGUGCAUACAGAGUUGGCCAAGAAACAACUGAGCAGCCCGCUGUCCAGUUACAUUUGGUUGACUAAAAUGGGAAUGCUCUGCAUAGAAAAGACUUUAAUCGUUCACCAGAUAUGGAUGUACAUACUCUCAAAUUCAAAGAGUCAUGCAGUUUAAUUUCACAGUCAUUAUUUCCUUUCAAAUGCAGUGUGCUGGAGUAGAGAACCUUAACAACAAAAAAUUGUGUCUCUGUCCAGUCAUUAAUGCACUACAGUGUGUACACAGCAGAAAUCAUGUUACCAUGCCAAAUUUUUUGAGCUUUGAAAUUCUUAUGAGUUUUAUUUAGGUCUCGCUGUAGUGGAUAUGUAUGUAAUGUAGAUGUUGUUAAGUUGUGGAGAGACAGAAAAAAUAAGUGAAAUAGUGUGUUAGAGGAGGAGAGUUGUACCAUGAAAGUCCAGAGGGAGGAGAAGUUGGAGGAGAACAGAGAGAAUAUAGGAAAAGGGUUUCAGAGAUCUGGAGAUCAGUCACUGAAUUUACUUGGUUAUAGUCUUAAGAAAUUAUGGUAACUGUGGACUACGUGAUUUGACAAGUGAGUACAUUUUUAAAUGUUCUCCAUAACCAUAUUUGUAGCCGAAUUAGUCUACAAAGAAAUAACCAAAUGCUUUACUGGUGAAUGUUCCUAAAUAAAGUAUUUAUGGUCUAUUAUCUGAUUGAAUCACAUUAAGUACAUUUUCAAGCUGAGGUUGAAUGCAAAAUAUACUUUAUUUCAUAGGCAAUAAAACAGUGCCUACAUCUUAGCUCCUUUGUAUCACAAUAUUCUAUGUA